rnacentral:rRNA from 1 species
GACGAACGCUGGCGGCGUGCCUAAUACAUGCAAGUCGAGCGAAUCAGUGGGAGCUUGCUCCCUGAGAUUAGCGGCGGACGGGUGAGUAACACGUGGGUAGCCUGCCUGUAAGACUGGGAUAACUUCGGGAAACCGGAGCUAAUACCGGAUACGUUCUUUUCUCGCAUGAGGAGAGAUGGAAAGAUGGUUCUGCUAUCACUUACAGAUGGACCCGCGGCGCAUUAGCUAGUUGGUGAGGUAACGGCUCACCAAGGCGACGAUGCGUAGCCGACCUGAGAGGGUGAUCGGCCACACUGGGACUGAGACACGGCCCAGACUCCUACGGGAGGCAGCAGUAGGGAAUCUUCCGCAAUGGACGAAAGUCUGACGGAGCAACGCCGCGUGAGCGAAGAAGGCCUUCGGGUCGUAAAGCUCUGUUGUUAGGGAAGGACAAGUACGAGAGUAACUGCUCGUACCUUGACGGUACCUAACCAGAAAGCCACGGCUAACUACGUGCCAGCCGCCGCAGUAA